rnacentral:rRNA from 1 species
AACGAACGCUGGCGGCGUGCCUAACACAUGCAAGUCGAGCGAGAAAAGGGGAGCAAUCCCCUGAGUACAGCGGCGCACGGGUGAGUAACACGUAGGUGAUCUCCCCUCGAGCCCGGAAUAACCUACCGAAAGGUGGGCUAAUACCGGAUAUGACCACGGGAGUUUCGGCUCCUGCGGUGAAAGAUGGCCUCUACCUGUAAGCUAUCACUCAAGGAUGAGCCUGCGUGCCAUUAGCUAGUUGGUGAGGUAACGGCUCACCAAGGCGAUGAUGGCUAGCUGGUCUGAGAGGAUGGCCAGCCACACU